AUUAGUGGCGAACGGGUGAGUAUCACGUGAGUAACCUGCCCUUGACUCUGGGAUAAGCCCGGGAAACUGGGUCUAAUACCGGAUACGACCAGUCACCGCAUGGUGUGCUGGUGGAAAGCUUUAGCGGUUUUGGAUGGACUCGCGGCCUAUCAGCUAGACGGUGAGGUAAUGGCUCACCGUGGCGAUGACGGGUAGCCGGCCUGAGAGGGUGACCGGCCACACUGGGACUGAGACACGGCCCAGACUCCUACGGGAGGCAGCAGUGGGGAAUAUUGCACAAUGGGCGAAAGCCUGAUGCAGCGACGCCGCGUGUGGGAUGACGGCCUUCGGGUUGUAAACCACUUUCAGCAGGGAAGAAGCUUUUUGUGACGGUACCUGCAGAAGAAGCGCCGGCUAACUACGUGCCAGCAGCCGCGGUAAUACGUAGGGCGCGAGCGUUAUCCGGAAUUAUUGGGCGUA
rnacentral:rRNA from 1 species